rnacentral:snoRNA from 1 species
CGCGCGCCGAUCUGCUCUUCGCGGGGCUCCACCUGCUCGUGUGGGGGGAGGCCGCCAAUCUCCGCUUCGUCCCGGAGUGCCUCUGCUACAUCUACCACCACAUGGCGCUCG